GACGAACGCUGGCGGCGUGCUUAACACAUGCAAGUCGAGCGGUAAGGCCCCUUCGGGGGUACACGAGCGGCGAACGGGUGAGUAACACGUGAGCAAUCUGCCCUUCACUUUGGGAUAACUCUGGGAAACGAGAGCUAAUACCGAAUACGACCACUUCAGGCAUCUGAUGGUGGUGGAAAGUUCCGGCGGUGAAGGAUGAGCUCGCGGCCUAUCAGCUAGUUGGUGGAGUAACGGCCCACCAAGGCUUCGACGGGUAGCCGGCCUGAGAGGGUGACCGGCCACACUGGGACUGAGACACGGCCCAGACUCCUACGGGAGGCAGCAGUGGGGAAUAUUGGACAAUGGGCGAAAGCCUGAUCCAGCAACGCCGCGUGAGGGAUGACGGCCUUC
rnacentral:rRNA from 1 species